AAAGGAACAAAGAAGGAACUCCG
rnacentral:piRNA from 1 species